rnacentral:rRNA from 1 species
UACGUAGGUGGCAAGCGUUGUCCGGAUUUAUUGGGUUUAAAGGGUGCGUAGGCGGCUUAUUAAGUCAGUGGUGAAACACUCUAGCUCAACUAGAGGGGUGCCAUUGAUACUGAUGAGCUUGAGUACAGAUGAGGUAGGCGGAAUUGACGGUGUAGCGGUGAAAUGCUUAGAUAUCGUCAAGAACACCUAUAGCGAAGGCAGCUUACUAGGCUGUAACUGACGCUGAGGCACGAAAGUGUGGGGAUCAAACAGG